CUCAGCGUAAGUCAAAACACAAACUGGGAAAAAUAUUUGCGACCCAUUUCAUGUCCAAGAGGCUAUUCUUCCUGCAAAUCUCCUACAAAUCUAUAAGGAAAAGGCAUAGAUUUGUAAAUAAACUCAAUAAACUCAUAGGCAAAGGAUAUCACAGGCAGUUCACAGAAACAGAAAAACAAGUGGGUAGACCCAGAAAUCCUACUUUGUGAAAUGUAUCCUACAGAUACACCUGCCGAUUCAUUAAAUGGUAUUUAUACAAGGUUAUCUAUUACAAAAAAAAACUGAAAAUAGCCCAAAUGUCCAUCAGUGAGAGACCAGUUACAUAAAUUAGGGUUUGGCCAUACAAUGAAAAAAAAUUAUGCAAUUAAAAGCACCUUUUGUGUAUUGAUAUGGAAAAAUCCCUAAUGUAUAUUAACAAAAUAAAAAGUAAUAAAAAUAUAGAACAGGAUCUAUAUGGAACUUUUUGUAUAGAAAGAAAGAAAACUAGGAUUAUAUUCAUGUCUGCUCAUAUUUGCAUAAAGAAACUCUGCAAAAUAUGCCAAAAGUAAUACAAGUGGUUAUCUAUGCGGAAGGGUUGGGAAAUGGAUGGAUAAAAGAAGAAAUGAACGUUAGACUUUUCACUAUAUACUCCUUUUUUGAAUCUUUUGAACCAUGAGAAUCAACUAUCUGCCCAACAUUAAAAAUUGAAUUAAAAAGUAAUUUUCUAUUUGUCUUUGCUAUUCUUAAGUUUCACCGUAAUAUGUCUGGGUCUGGCUAGAAUGUUUUGUUUUGUCUUCUUAGAUAUGAGCUUUUUUUGGUGAAUCUGAAGUCUCUCUUGGAAAUUCUUGGUCACUUUUUAUUCAGAUUAUUUCAUCCUUCUCCAUUUUCUUUUUAUGAGACUCAUCUUACUACUUAAAUCUUACAUUUUUACCUCACUCCUGUUUCCUAGCUUUUAUUCUUUAUCUCUUCCUGAUGUCUCUAGGAGAGUUGCUAACGUGGUCUUCCACUCGCUAAUUGCUCUUUGUCUUUAUCCAUCCUGCCACUCAGUGUAUCCAUUGAGUUCUUUAAUUCAUUCAGUCUUCACAUUCAGGAUGUCCAUCUAAUUUGUUCGACAAUAUUUGGGCUUGCUUCCGCUUCACAUUUCUGAUACCUUCCCUCAUGUCUUUAAACACAUUUGUUAUGCUUAUUUCAAAUUUAAUUUCGAUUCUAUUAAUUGAUUGGUUGUUUCCUUUGAUACAGAUUGUUCCAUUUAUCUUUCUCAUAUGACCGUUGCCCUUCAUAUGACCGUUGCCCUCCUCAGACAUCCCGUUCUUUUUCCUUGUGAGUUCUUGUCCUUGGGACUACCAACUACAUUGGCUGCCAAUGCAUAUGUGUCGACUGAGAGAGCCUCUGGUGUUGCAGUCUGAAACCAACCACUUCCCUUUUGUCUCCCCAAAUCAGGCAAUACUUUUCCUCAGCAAAUCUUCCAGAGCCUCUUUCUCAGAUAUUAUUCUUUUCCAAGGGCUGCCUCCCUCUGUUGCAACUGCCUGUUCCAUUAUAUUCAUCUGCUCAGGCUGCUGUAACAAAAUACCACAGACUGGGUGGCUUCCAUAACAGACAUUUAUUUCUCACUGUUCUGGAGGCUGGGAAGUCCAAGAUGAAGGUGCCGGCCGGAACGGUGUCUGGUGAGGGCUCUCCCUUGGGUUUCAGAUGGCUGCCUUCUCACUGUGUGCUCACAUGGCCUUUCCUCUGUGCGUGAACACGGAGAGAGGGAGCAAGCAAGCUCUCCGGUGUCUCAUAAAGACACUGAUCCUAUGAGAUCAGGGCCAAUCCUUAUGACCUCAUAUAGCCUUAAUUACCUCCUAAAGACCCUGUCUCCAAAUACAGUCAUAUUGGAUUAGGAUUUCAACAUACAAAUUUGGGAGUGGCGGUGGGGGAUCACAAUUCAGUCUAUAGCACCUGUGGAAGAGGGCGUAGUCAGCCUUCUCCCACUGGAGGGCCCUUGUAUCUGCUGUAACACUGCUCCCUUCUCACCUCGCUGCUCCGAGUUGGCAUUAAGUUGGCCCUGGACUAAUGCUGUUUUUUUGCCAUACAGUGGCAACAGGGUGUGCCGGGGUCUUGCCAGGGCAAAACGAAGGCGACAGAUCAACAGUCUGACAUCCCCUACUGUUAGGAAUAAUGCUCAAAAUCCUAAGGAAAUUGAACACACGAAAAAAGGAUUCUUAGCAAAGCAAUUUUACUUCUGUGCAGAGGGGUGCCUCCUUGGCCAGUUGCCGUGAGAGCACACCUGAACAAAGGGGCACGAGAGCCUUUAUUCCUGACGCAAGUCCUGCCCUGUACCCUUUCCCCAUUGGCUGGGGUCGGGUUGUACAAUGUAAACUAAUCCCGGUUGGCUAAACAUUGUUUUUUUUUAGAUAGGGUGGGCACGUAAAAGAAAGUGGAGGGAAAGGGGAAGGGGUGUCUGUAAUGAGCCAGAAAGUUAGUCCUCUUUCCAAAUAAGGAAAGGAAUGUGAGCUGGUACUGAUAACACCUGGUACUGUGGCGUGCCUGGGCAUCUAACAAAGGCAAGAAGGAAAAAAACAGAAAAAGGGAGAAAAAUGGGGGGGGGGUUACUAUAAAUUAAAGAAUAAAAGAUUGAUCAGAUUUUUUGAAGAGAAACCUCAUCGUAUCCCACACUAGUCCCCAUCCAUAAUAUCUGUUCCUCUUCUGGAGGAACCUCCAGAGAUCAACCUCCCUCCCAUUUCUGCAGCAUCUCCAGGGACAGGACCCUUUCCUGGUUACAAUCUCAUAGGAAGCCUGACGUUAGCCUCAUUUCAGUUCCCAGCUUCGCCAUUGCUGGAGAUGAAGUUUAAUCUCCAAGUCUCCACUGUUUUUCUUCUAUUAUCAUGAAAAGCUUGGAGUCGAUGAUCUCAGGUGUUUCUAGCUCCACAAUUCUGGGAUUCUGUGUGAUGAAGAGGUCACUAGCAGUCACUUCCAUAUGUGGACCUAGAGCAUCGGUCAGCUUCCUGGUGAAGGCAGAGAGCCACAGUUCCAGAACACUCAAGGUCAGAAGGAAAGGCGUUAUUUCAGCUACUGCCUAGCAGAGCUGUUAGUUUGGACCAGUGGGAGUUCUCUUCUGAGUAAUCCCAGCAUUGGGAAAUUGGUCAUGAAAACAGAACAGGAGGCCAUUUAACAUGUCAGGGACAAGCCACAGCACAGGCUGAGGUUUGAGGCUGGUCUCCAAGACCAGACUUAGGCAUGACUGCCCAGUGAGAUGAGUACAACCAGUGUUCUGCCUCAUCCUUUCCCUGAGAGUGGCCCUUGAAACUGCCUCUGAGGGGUCCUGUCUUCCUCAGCCUCAGCAAACUGCCAAAAUGGAAUCAUAGAAUCAUUCCAUGAAAAGAUGGUUGGGUUCAGGGAGGCCACCGGCCUUGCACCGUUGUAUUAUUGAAAACCCACUGGGGCCAUCUUUAGACAACCUAACCCUGCAGCAAACUUAACUAAGCCCUAAACGUUGCCAUAACAAACAGAUUAAAAUUCACUUUCAUCGACAUUAAAAAUAAUUUGGGAGGAAAAAAAGGCAAAAAGAUUUUUCUAAUUUUGCUUUUGAAAUUAUUUGUCUGAGUAACUCAUUUAAUUCACAAUUUGCUUAGCUUUUUUCCCCAAAAAAUCUGUGCAUAAUUGGGAAUUCUCGGGAAGUGAGGAAAUUAAAUCCACAGAUUACUUUCAAAUGUGUGAAAUGUUGUAUGAAUGCUAAAGUUAGCAAUUCAUGAAGCUGGUGUGUUAACAUUUGUAAGCAUCUAAUUAAACAUGUAUUCUUUAUUUUGUGGCUUCCUUUUUGCAUUUUAG
rnacentral:lncRNA from 1 species